rnacentral:pre_miRNA from 1 species
AGAAGGAUAGCUAGGUCAAAUGGUUGUUCCAUUCCCAGAUUUCCAAGGAAUCUCCAUAUUGCUUUCCAUAUUGGCUACACCAAUUUGCAGUCCCACCAGCAAU